GACGAACGCUGGCGGCGUGCUUAACACAUGCAAGUCGAACGGAAAAGCCCUGCUUUUGUGGGGUGCUCGAGUGGCGAACGGGUGAGUAACACGUGAGUAACCUGCCCUUGACUUUGGGAUAACUUCAGGAAACUGGGGCUAAUACCGGAUAGGAGCUCCUGCUGCAUGGUGGGGGUUGGAAAGUUUCGGCGGUUGGGGAUGGACUCGCGGCUUAUCAGCUUGUUGGUGGGGUAGUGGCUUACCAAGGCUUUGACGGGUAGCCGGCCUGAGAGGGUGACCGGCCACAUUGGGACUGUGAUACGGCCCAGACUCCUACGGGAGGCAGCAGUGGGGAAUAUUGCACAAUGGGCGGAAGCCUGAUGCAGCAACGCCGCGUGCGGGAUGACGGCCUUCGGGUUGUAAACCGCUUUCGCCUGUGACGAAGCGUGAGUGACGGUAAUGGGUAAAGAAGCACCGGCUAACUACGUG
rnacentral:rRNA from 1 species